ensembl:lncRNA
AUACAGAGCUGUGAAAAAGUAUUUCUUCAAUCGUUCCAUAUUUCUCACACUCAGAUGUUCCACAUCAUCAAACCGGACCUUCAGGGGUCUAGUGGAGUCUAGAUACCACAGAACACCUUCAGGGGUCUAGUGGAGUCCAGAUACCACAGAUCACCUUCAGGGGUCUGGUGGAGUCCAGAUACCACAGAUCACCUUCAGGGGUCUAGUGGAGUUCAGAUACCACAGAUCACCUUCAGGGGUCUAGUGGAGUCCAGAUACCAUAGGACACCUUCAGGGGUCUAGUGGAGUCCAGAUACCACAGAACACCUUCAGAGGUCUAGUGGAGUCCAGGCCUCAAUGGGUCAGGAACCAACACAAUAUUAGGCAGGUGGUCAUAAUGUUAUGUAGGGUCAGAUUUAUUUGGUUGUAAUUUUGGCCUUUGCUCAGCUUGAUAGUAAACUUGAGCUCUAAAAACAUCAAGAUGAUUUGAUUUACAUGAUACAGAUUUUGAUAAGUAGCUUCUAGUCUUAAUAAAAGUGCAGCAUCAGCGGGUUGAUUUCAGGUCAGAGUCUUAUUGAAGAUUUCCAAGCAAUAAAAACAAUAAACAUAUAUGAUUGUUUCAUGUGAUUCCCAUCCUAAAACCUGUUCCAGACUCUGAAUUGAUGGGUGUGGAGGAGGUUCAGUAAAUGAAGAAGUGAGUUUUGGGUUGUAUUUUCACUGUCACGUCUUUCAUUCAUGUUGUAGAGGAAGCAAAAGAUGGAUUCAGUUCAAGCAGCAGCGGUUUAAACAGAGAAAAUGUUUCACGUUAAAGAUACAAUCAAAAGUAAAAUCCUGCUUGAUUUGGUCUAAACUCAAUAAAGAAAUGAGGCCCAGCUUUGUCUUGUGAUACAGAGGAAAUAAAAGAGAGCAUGUAUUUGAAUGGUCUGGUUUUACAAUCAGCUUUACAGCCAUAAAUGUGCAGCCAAAGAGACAAAGUCAGUCAGUCAGUCACUUCCUCCACCAGUAAACAGCCUCAACACUCUGCACAUCAAAGAAAAGUGGACCAGAAUUCCUCCGUGGUGAUGGAAAACACUGAUCACAAGCUGGAACAAACAUUUAACUGCAGUUGUUGCUGCCAAAGCAGUUAUUAGGUUCAGGGGGGCAAUUACUUUUUCACAGAGUGAUACAGGUCGACAACUGAGUCCAACACAUCAUGGAGACCAGUUCCAGAAGUCUGGAAUCCAUCCUGGAGGCAGCAAUGCUCAGAUCAGCAGGUGUUGACAGAAACCCGUACCUGGCUGGAGGAUACCUGAUAGGAAGCUCCCUGCUGGGCCUCCUCAUCAUCAUCGGGGUCUUCUGGUACCAUCGCAGCAAUCUCAGCCUUUUUAAAAGAUCCUGCAUCAUGUCCUUCACCUGCCAGGAAAACCGCCUCACGGGUGUUCAAGUCGUCUACAACUCUCUGAUGCUUCUGCUCAUCAUGGAUGCUGUGAAUCUGAUCGUGGGAAUAAUCUUGGGAGCUGCAAUGAUUCAAUUGUCCUGCGAUGUAAUCAACUGUGUUCAUGUAGAAAUCGCAUGGUUCCUGUCCAGGUGGUUUGGAGUGAUUAUUCAUCUUCUGAAUGCCUCAUUGUCCAUCUAUCAUCUGCAUCAGAGUGCAACCUUGGUUCCCAACGUCUACGCAUCGAUUUUUGUACUGAAUGUCAUUGUGGUUUCACUGUAUCUACAUGACACCACAGUGACCCUAUUCAUUUUGGCUGUUUUAAUGUUUCUGUUUGCUCUGGUUGUCAUUGUAACAUCUAUAGUGUCUACUUCGCCCCCGCCUACUGCCACCUUGAAGAAACUGAUCAUGGUUGUUGCCAUGUGCAACUUCCUGGUUGUCUACGCCCCCACUUUCAUUCUUCAGUGCCUCCUUUUCAGCUCACAUGACUAUGACGAGUUAGUGUAUUAUCAAAUUAUUUAUGCGAAUGUUCUGGUUUUCACAAACCUUCACCUCAUUUUCAAUGGAUUUCUGUGCGCUUUAAUCCUGAAGUUGCCUUCUGGAGAAGAACAGGAAGAACAGCAAGAACAGUGGCAACAACAAUGGCAACAACGACAACAACAGUGGCAACAACAACAGCAACAACAGUGGCAACAACAACAGCAACAACAGUUGGGUUUCCCAAAUCCAGGAUACACUGUGUCUACAAAUGUAAAUCAAUAAUGAGCAAAAUUAUGUGUCUGCACCAUAAUAAUCAAUGUGUAUCCCAACCACUGAUAGAUAAUCCAGGAUUGUUUCACUAUUCAUAAUUAUUCCUGUCUUCAUGGACUCUACCUGUUGGACAGAAGGAUGCAGCUCCUACUUCAUUCAUGUAAACCCUGAAAUCAAACAUUAAAAUCACCGUUUCACCCUCUAUGCCUGAUUUAAAAUCCAGUACAAAGCAAGAAGAAAUAUGUGAAUAUUUUCAUAAUGUGCUGACAGCGGAGAGCUGUAUAAAAUGAAGUUGAUGAACUUUUCAAAAUAAAACAUCUGUUCAAUUUGCUUGAUUGUCCAGUUAGUUAAAGGUGGAGGGUACAUCUAAAAUAUGUUAGAAUUCCUGCAAUGUUCAACUGCUUUGGAUGUAAACACCCUCAAAUUAAAGCUGAAAGUCUGCACUUAAAGCACAUUGUGUUAUUUCAAACCUUGGUCAUUUGGUAGAUUAGUAGCUAAGGGGGCGAUUACUUUUUCACAUCGGGUAAGAUGGGAUGGACAGUUUUUUUUCUCUCAACAAAUAAAACUCAGAUUUAGAUUACAGACUAGACUAAUAUGGAGAGAACUCAUCUGUUUAGUGACAUCAGAAUAAACUAUAUCUAACCUUGACCAGAGAACAGAGUCCUGACACAUCUUCCUCCUACAGCGUCUGCCUGUCGGAAGAUAAUUUGGGAUGACGUCAGCCAACAGCUGCAAGGUAAUACCUAAAUGGUAUGGAUGGAUUUAAAUAGAAUCACAAAUUUUCACUGUUGGAAAACAUCUCUGAAAUAUAGUAAAAUCAUCAUCAUCACCAUUUAAAGUACAAUCUGUCUUUUAAAUAACAGCA